CUUUAAAAUACUGAGUUUUUCAAAAAAAAACAAAAGAAACAAGAAAGAAACAAGAAACAAGAAACAAAAAAAUAAAAAACAGAAACAAGAAAAUAAAAAACAGCGCGUUUAAAAAAAAGAAAAAAGAAACAAGAAAAAAACAACCAAAAAACAAAAAACAAAAAGAAACAAGAAAAAAAAACAAAAAAAAAACAAAAACAAGAAACAACAAAAAACAAGAAGCAGCGCGUUUUAGCAUUGACCAGGUUAUGUCGAAAUCUUGUUUGUUUUCUUAUAUAUACUGCAUGUAUAUACCAAAUAUGUAUUUAGAAUCAUAUGAGUAGAGUGCUCAAUAUACUGAAGUAUAGAGCUAAUAUAAGAUUUCAUUCACCACAAACCUGUUCUGUAUGCAGUGUGACAAGCAAUGCUUGCCACAUGCACUCAUCAGGUGAAUGAUCAGGUACUUAUCAGGUGAGUGUGGCAAUCAUUGCUUGACUUGCUUGUCAUACGAAACAAGUUUGCAGUGAAUAAAAUCUUAUGAAGUAACCCAGGUUUAUUUUAUUUUAUGGAAACGUUUUCCAUCGUAAAUCUUGGCAGUAUAUAUGCACAAGAAUUAUGAAUGUAGGUCUAUUUAGGUUCAUAAUUUGCUCAGCUAAAAUGCUUAAAAUAAUAUUAAUUAAUUAUUAAAAUGUCAACUUUAUAGUUUAGAAAUAAAAAGCAACCCUAAACUUUUUUCUCUAAAAUCCAAGCUUAUAUGAUCCUGGGAAUUAAUAUAAAAGUCAAUUUAUAGGAAGGUCAAACUGCAUGUGUAUUUCUCUCUUGCGACAAGCGUUCGAAAACGUAAACUGCCGUUUUAUUGAAACUGCCGCAAGAACAGUUUUAUUGAUCUACUAGUUCUACGUUCUUAUUAUAAACUACGGUAUUUCUCUAUUCGAAAAGUCUACAAUUAUGAGC